rnacentral:rRNA from 1 species
GGACGAACGCUGGCGGCGUGCCUAACACAUGCAAGUCGAGCGAGGAGAUCCUCGGGAUGAUCCUAGCGGCGGACGGGUGAGUAACACGUGGGCAACCUGCCUCAUAGAGAGGAAUAGCCUUCCGAAAGGGAGAUUAAUACCUCAUAACAUUGCAGUUUCGCAUGAAACAGCAAUUAAAGGAGCAAUCCGCUAUGAGAUGGGCCCGCGGCGCAUUAGCUAGUUGGUGAGGUAACGGCUCACCAAGGCGACGAUGCGUAGCCGACCUGAGAGGGUGAUCGGCCACAUUGGGACUGAGACACGGCCCAGACUCCUACGGGAGGCAGCAGUGGGGAAUAUUGCACAAUGGGGGAAACCCUGAUGCAAGCAACGCCGCGUGAGUGAUGACGGCCUUCGGGUUGUAAAGCUCUGUCUUCAGGGACGAUAAUGACGGUACCUGAGGAGGAAGCCACGGCUAACUACGUGCCAGCAGCGGC